GGUACUCGAGCGGCGAAACGGGUGAGUAACACGUGAGUAAUCUGCCCUUGGCUUUGGGAUAGCCACCGGAAACGGUGAUUAAUACCGGAUACGACCACUUCUCGCAUGGGAUGGUGGUGGAAAGUUUUUCGGCCAGGGAUGUGCUCGCGGCCUAUCAGCUUGAUGGUGAGGUAAUGGCUCACCAUGGCUUCGACGGGUAGCCGGCCUGAGAGGGUGACCGGUCACACUGGGACUGAGACACGGCCCAGACUCCUACGGGAGGCAGCAGUGGGGAAUAUUGGACAAUGGGCGGAAGCCUGAUCCAGCAACGCCGCGUGAGGGAUGACGGCCUUCGGGUUGUAAACCUCUUUCAGCAGGGACGAAGCGCAAGUGACGGUACCUGCAGAAGAAGCACCGGCCAACUACGUGCCAGCAGCCGCGGUAAUACGUAGGGUGCGAGCGUUGUCCGGAAUUAUUGGGCGUAAAGGGCUCGUAGGCGGUUUGUCGCGUCGGGAGUGAAAACCAGGUGCUUAACACCUGGCUUGCUUUCGAUACGGGCAGACUAGAGGUAUUCAGGGGAGAACGGAAUUCCUGGUGUAGCGGUGAAAUGCGCAGAUAUCAGGAGGAACACCGGUGGCGAAGGCGGUUCUCUGGGAAUAUCCUGACGCUGAGGAGCGAAAGUGUGGGGAGCGAACAGGAUUAGAUACCCUGGUAGUCCACACCGUAAACGUUGGGCGCUAGGUGUGGGG
rnacentral:rRNA from 1 species